UACGGAGGAUGCGAGCGUUAUCCGGAUUUAUUGGGUUUAAAGGGUGCGUAGGCGGGCUAAUAAGUCAGCUGUGAAAGUUUGCGGCUCAACCGUAAAAUUGCAGUUGAUACUGUUAGUCUUGAGUGUAGCAGAGGAAGGCGGAAUUCGUGGUGUAGCGGUGAAAUGCUUAGAUAUCACGAAGAACUCCAAUUGCGAAGGCAGCUUUCUAGACUAUAACUGACGCUGAUGCA
rnacentral:rRNA from 1 species